UGCAAAUGAUGAAUAAUAUUUAUACCAUCUUUCGGCUGAUGACAAUUGAUGAAUAUUUUUUUCUGACUGCA
rnacentral:snoRNA from 1 species